UGAUGCUGCUCCGUCUAUAGCAUCCAUGGUGCUUCCUAUAACUCCUGCCUCUUUCAACUUCUUCCUUUCUUCUAGAGGCAGAGAAGAUGAUACUAA